ACGGCGAGUGAAGCGGCAACAGCUCAAAUUUGAAAUCUGGCUGCCUGUGCAGUCCGAGUUGUAAUUUGAAGAGGAUGCUUUUGGCAAGGUGCCUUCCGAGUUCCCUGGAAUGGGACGCCAUAGAGGGUGAGAGCCCCGUAUGGUCGGUCGCCGAGCCUCUGUAAAGCUCCUUCGACGAGUCGAGUAGUUUGGGAAUGCUGCUCAAAAUGGGAGGUAAACCCCUUCUAAAGCUAAAUAUUGGCCAGAGACCGAUAGCGCACAAGUAGAGUGAUCGAAAGAUGAAAAGCACUUUGAAAAGAGAGUUAAACAGCACGUGAAAUUGUUGAAAGGGAAGCGCUUGCGACCAGACUUGUGCUCGUCGAAUCAGCCGUCGCUCGUCGGCGGCGCAUUUCGGCGGGCUCAGGCCAGCAUCAGUUCGCUGUAGGGGGAGAAAGGCGGUAGGAAUGUGGCUCUUCGGAGUGUUAUAGCCUACCGUAUAAUACCCCUCGGUGGACUGAGGACCGCGCAUCUGCAAGGAUGCUGGCGUAAUGGUUGUCAGCGACCCGUCUUGAAACACGGACCAAGGAGUCGUCCUAAUAUGCGAGUGUUCGGGUGUAAAACCCCUACGCGUAAUGAAAGUGAACGGAGGUGAGAGCUUCGGCGCAUCAUCGACCGAUCCUGAUGUUCUCGGAUGGAUUUGAGUAUGAGCAUAUUGGGCCGGACCCGAAAGAAGGUGAACUAUGCCUGUAUAGGGUAAAGCCAGAGGAAACUCUGGUGGAGGCUCGCAGCGGUUCUGACGUGCAAAUCGAUCGUCA
rnacentral:rRNA from 1 species